rnacentral:rRNA from 1 species
UACAGAGGGGGCAAGCGUUAUUCGGAAUUAUUGGGCGUAAAGGGCGCGUAGGCGGCUUGGCAAGUGGAUGGUGAAAUCCCUCGGCUUAACCGAGGAACUGCCGUCCAAACUGCUUUGCUUGAGACCGGGAGAGGUGAGUGGAAUUCCCAGUGUAGCGGUGAAAUGCGUAGAUAUUGGGAGGAACACCAGUGGCGAAGGCGGCAUCCUGGACCGGCAUUGACGCUGAGGCGCGAAAGCCAGGGGAGCAAACGGG